GGGCAUUUGCUCCCUGGGUAUUUCUCCCUCGUCUUAGUUCAGUUGCCUAUAUAAAUAGGUUGACUACCCUUGACAGGUUAGUGUAGACCAGACUGCCUUGGAGACAGGACGUAGUUCACGCACGCAGUCACACACAAACACACUUGACACACACAUACACAUGCACCAACACGCACAUGAACGUACACUAACACAUGCACAUACACGGAGAAAAACACACUUAAGUAUACACACAUUCACUCCAUACAAAAAUAAACAUGUACCUAUUGACACAACCAACACUAACAUAAACACAGAUGCAUAAAUAUGUUAAAACAAAACAAAAAGAAGAGAAUGUACACAUGUGCACAUACAUAAACAAACACACACACACGCAGCCUAAACUACACACGUGCGCGCGUGCCCAAACACGCGCAUGCAGAAACGCGUGCAAGAAUUGCAGAUAAGAGCAGUGAAAACUAUCGGAUUAAUGGAUCAGCGAAACAAGUAAGAAGAAUCUCGAGUGACCUCGGUGACACACUGCAGUGACCUCUCUUUGCCAAGUGCUGACCCUCAAAUCUCCCGGUCUCGUCUGCCCUUCCUUGCUGGACUUCUGGCUCUGGUUAAAACUCCUUGCAUAUGAACAAAUUACUAUAUUAACUCCCAUCUCGUGAGUCAAAGUCACUGCAGGUAGUCCUCACACCUCUAAGUCUUCUUAGGGAGGUCCUGCGAGGACUACGGAUGCCCCCAAAAGGUCCUUUUUUUUUUUUUUUUUUUUUUUGCCCUGCCGAAAACAUCUGAAAGUCGUCACCUGGUCUACACUCUCCACCAGCCGCUCUUGUCGAGGCAGUUACGAGACGACUCAUCCGAGAUCUUCUGACAAUUUCUGACAACUGGAAGUCUGACUUCUAUCUGAAAGUAAUCGAUUCCCGCCCUGUGAUCGGAAGAAGGCUUAACCUGAUCUAGUGAUGUAACUUUCGAUGCGGAUUUCGUAGUUUUUUUUUUCUUUUUAUACGUGUCGAAAAUGGUCUGGUAAAUUACUUCAUAGCGUGAAAAAAUGCAUACACGUGAUAUUAGUAACAGGCUUCGAUACAAAAUUCGUACUUGUUUAUUUUGACACUUGAGAGCGUGGAAUGAUUAAUAAUGAAAUAGAAACUAGUAACAGGCUUCGAUAAAACUAAAAUCGUACUUGUUUAUUUUAACGAUGUGUCGAAAAUGGUCGGGUAAAUCAUUAGUAAAUCCCUUCAGAGCCCGGGAAAAGUUAAAUGAAAUGAAAACUAGAGAGAGAGUUCUGGCCCUCAUUAUCUGAAAGAUGUUCAUGAGAAAAAUGAGUUUCCAACAGCAAAGUUUCCUUCCAGGGACGAGACAGAGCCGCGAACAGCAAGGAGAGAUGCGCAAUGUGUUAAGCAACUGGAAUGUUCUUAGAAACAAGCUCGCAGCGGAACUGGUUGGGGCACUGUGGUGCCCACAGAGAACCACGUGGCGUUGGCACCCUCGACUGACAACUCGUGACUCCCAGUGCCAGGUAUCGUGGAUCUUAGUGCCAGUGGGUCGUCACGAGUGUGAUGCAAAACUUGUGCCACCGUUAGUUUUUGCGUGCCAGAAAAUGCCGUCAGAAUUAUUCUUGUCUGACAAGACUGACGAGAAUUUUAGUGCAGUUUCAAGUGUAUUUUUUCUUUUUUGUAUCCUUUUUUUUUUUUUGUCAGUGUUCACGGAAAACGAGAUAUAAGAUACCCCACGACCUUACGUAAUACGAGAAAUUCGAUAGUUUCAGAUUUUCACUGGCUCUUGCUUCUAAAGAUCAUGUGAUCAUGUGAUUGUUCAUUCGUGUUGAAGGAAUUCACGAUGAUCGCCAAUGAGGUUUUUGAUCAUUGGGAAAAUUAUCAUAAAAGAAGUUUUUUUUAAUUGGUGGAAAAUCCUCUGGAAUGAAGAAGGAAAAGUCUGAUCAACGCAGCCAUUCCGAGUGAAAUCGAAAUGCAAGAACUGCAACAAAAAAAAAAAAAAUUUUUUUUUUUUGCAAAAUAAAAGCUUCGUAAUUUUCCGCAUUCACAGAUGAAUAAUUACCCGGUUUGUGUCGCAAUGCACAUAUGCAAUUGCAUUGCUCGGAAUGUUCGACAGCACUGUAUUUGUGUGAGUGUGUUCUAUAGUUGCCGAGUUACAGUAGUUAUCAAGUAUUUGAAAAGCUCGCUUCUCAGGAACCAAAAUUGGAGCGGAAGGCCACUGGUUCCUGAGAAGAGAAAAAAAAAGCAUAAAAAAAAAAUAAGCCAAGUAAUGUUCUUCCUACUUACUUCAGCCCUUGGAAUGUUUCUCUCUCUCUCCCAUAUUUUGCAUGUUUUGACCUCUGUUCCUUUUAUGGGUCUAAGAUGGGGAGGAAUGGCGAGGAACCCACUCGCUAUUCCCCUCCACGCCUUCACCCCUGAGCCUGCGAUUGGACUGCAAAGUUGCUAGAAAAUUGCAUAUCCUGCAUAAAAGGCGUCACCGGAACCCGGACGAUAAAAAAAAGCAGAAAAAAGAAAAAGAAACUGCAGGUUUAAAGUCAAACACCCACCGGGACGGCUCCAUCACAAAAUGCGACAAUGUACAGAAAACCUAUCCCGAAAAUGAAAGGGAUUCCUCGCUGACCUCUUUCAUGCAGAGUCUUGGAUGCGAAUAAACCUGCAACGUUGCAUUCCAUACCCAUACCCCGGGAUGCCCCUGAAAGCUCGGAAACUCUCGUUCAUGCUGCCAUUCGACCGGUCAGGGGCAAAAAGAAAAAAAAAAUCCCGGGAGAACUUCGCGCCACUUCCGCACAUCCGGGUCACUACUUUUCGCGCGGGUCGAGAGCCUCUCUGCCUAUUGGUUUCUUCAAGUGCCACCUGAACCAAUAGGAGGCGCCUCUCGCUCCGCCCAGACCCGUCGUCGUUGUUGGUGAAGCAUAAAAGGGAAGAGUGUGAUAUAUAAAGUUCUCUCGUGUGUGCUUCGGAUUGUUAGAUUGGUUAUUUUAUUUCCAGCAUAAAAUGUUGAAAAAAUC